rnacentral:lncRNA from 1 species
CCCGGGGCGGAUGGGACCUGCAAGGCAGUGGUUUGCUUGUAUCCAUACCUUGGAGAAAGGCCAUUCUGUGACUCUAUGAUAUGAAUACGUGGGAUGGUCGCAGCUGGAGGGCUGUGCUCAGUGGCUCCAUGACCAGGCGGAGGUUGGUGAUGAGCGGUGUGCCCCAGGGGUCCAUCUCAGGAUUGGCACUCUUCAACAUCUUCAGCAACGACACAGAUGAUGGCAUUGAGUGCACCCUCAUGAGUUUGCUGAUGGCACUGAGCCGAGUGCUGCAGUAGAUACAACAGGAGGAAGGGACGCCAUCCAGAGGGACCUGGGCGGGCUCACAGAGUGGGACCACGAGAACCCAAUGAGGUUCAACAAAGCCAAACGCAGGGUGCUGCACUUGGGUUGGAGCAAUCCUGGGCAUGAGUACAGAUGUGAGAAGAACUCCUGGAAAGCAGCACUGCGGAGAAGGACUUGUUGGUUCUGACAGCACAUCUGGCAGCACUAUGCCAUGACCCAGCUGUGGGCAUCCCUGUCUCCACUUCUUGAGGUGCCUCGCAUCUCUUUAACUUUUUUGUGCAAAAAAAACUGCUCAGAAGGCCCACUGCUAAUUAAUUCUUCUUAAUUCUCUUUCAACUAUCAUAUCCCACAGCACCAUUUAUAUCAUUUUAUUUAUGACUCUGUUAGAUUAGAGGACCUGGACUUCCCAUCUUCAUGCUUUCUUUUCACACAUGUAAGUAAGGUGUUAGAUUUAUUCC